UACGGGGGGGGCAAGCGUUGUUCGGAAUUACUGGGCGUAAAGGGCUCGUAGGUGGCCAACUAAGUCAGACGUGAAAUCCCUCGGCUUAACCGGGGAACUGCGUCUGAUACUGGAUGGCUUGAGUUUGGGAGAGGGAUGCGGAAUUCCAGGUGUAGCGGUGAAAUGCGUAGAUAUCUGGAGGACCACCGGUGGCGAAGGCGGCAUCCUGGACCAACACUGACGCUGAGGAGCGAAAGCCAGGGGAGCAAACGGG
rnacentral:rRNA from 1 species